UACGUAGGGUGCAAGCGUUGUCCGGAAUUAUUGGGCGUAAAGAGCUCGUAGGCGGCUCAGUAAGUCAGGUGUGAAAACUCCAGGCUCAACCUGGAGACGCCACUUGAUACUGCUGUGGCUAGAGUCCGGUAGGGGAGCAUGGAAUUCCUGGUGUAGCGGUGAAAUGCGCAGAUAUCAAGAGGAACACCUGCGGCGAAGGCGGGUUGCUGGGCCGACACUGACGCUGAGGCGCGAAAGCCCAGGGGAGCGAACGGG
rnacentral:rRNA from 1 species